GACUAAGCGUACACGGUGGAUGCCCUGGCAGUCAGAGGCGAUGAAGGACGUGCUAAUCUGCGAAAAGCGCCGGCGAGGUGAUAUGAACCUUUGACCCGGCGAUGUCCGAAUGGGGAAACCCAGUGUGAUUCGUCACACUAUCGUUAACUGAAUACAUAGGUUAACGAGGCGAACCGGGGGAACUGAAACAUCUAAGUACCCCGAGGAAAAGAAAUCAACCGAGAUUCCCCCAGUAGCGGCGAGCGAACGGGGAGCAGCCC
rnacentral:rRNA from 1 species